AUGCAAGGCUCCUCCUCCAACUCGUCCGAUGAAGAAAGUGGCAAGGGGAAGUGGUGGUCUAGAGGCUGUCCCAAACACGUGUCUGAUGAGUUCCUUGGCUUCUGGCUUCGGCCAGAAGAAGCGCUGUCCAAGGUGGAGAUCAUCCACAACUACGCCGUCUUCAUGGGGUACCUCUCCAUGGCCGUGAGGGGGCUGGGUUUCCUGGUGGUCACAUGGACCACCGUCGUCCUGCUCGGCGGCUUCGUCUCCGUCCUCGGGAAAAAGGACUUUUGGUGCCUCACCGUCAUCACUCUCUCACAGACCGUUGGGUUAGUCUCACCAUCUUGUGUGGAUUUCAUUCAUUCAAUCCUUCGUAUUCACUCAAACUCAAAUGAUCUGUUUUUUUUCAAUAAGGAGUAG
rnacentral:rRNA from 1 species